rnacentral:tRNA from 1 species
AAAGAUUUAGUUAAAUUAUAACAUUAGAAUGUCAAACUAAAAUUAUCUUAUGAUAAUCUUUU